GACGAACGCUGGCGGCGUGCCUAAUACAUGCAAGUCGAGCGGACGAAUCGAAAGCUUGCUUUUGAUUCGUUAGCGGCGGACGGGUGAGUAACACGUGGGCAACCUGCCCUGUAGACGGGGAUAACACCGAGAAAUCGGUGCUAAUACCGGAUAACACGAAAUGUCGCAUGACGUUUCGUUGAAAGACGGCGCAAGCUGCCGCUACAGGAUGGGCCCGCGGCGCAUUAGCUAGUUGGUGAGGUAACGGCUCACCAAGGCGACGAUACGUAGCCGACCUGAGAGGGUGAUCGGCCACACUGGGACUGAGACACGGCCCAGACUCCUACGGGAGGCAGCAGUAGGGAAUCUUCCGCAAUGGACGAAAGUCUGACGGAGCAACGCCGCGUGAGCGAAGAAGGCCUUCGGGUCGUAAAGCUCUGUUGUUAGGGAAGAACAAGUAACGCAGUAACUGGCGUUACCGAGACGGUACCUAACGAGAAAGCCACGGCUAACUACGUG
rnacentral:rRNA from 1 species